AACGAACGCUGGCGGCAGGCUUAACACAUGCAAGUCGAACGCAUCGCAAGAUGAGUGGCAGACGGGUGAGUAACGCGUGGGAACGUACCCUUUACUACGGAAUAGCUCCGGGAAACUGGAAUUAAUACCGUAUGUGCCCUUCGGGGGAAAGAUUUAUCGGUAAAGGAUCGGCCCGCGUUGGAUUAGCUAGUUGGUGGGGUAAAGGCCUACCAAGGCGACGAUCCAUAGCUGGUCUGAGAGGAUGAUCAGCCACAUUGGGACUGAGACACGGCCCAAACUCCUACGGGAGGCAGCAGUGGGGAAUAUUGGACAAUGGGCGCAAGCCUGAUCCAGCCAUGUCGCGUGAGUGAUGAAGGUCUUAGGAUUGUAAAGCUCUUUCACCGGGGAAGAUAAUGACGGUACCCGGAGAAGAAGCCCCGGCUAACUUCGUGCCAGCCGCCGCUGUAAUAC
rnacentral:rRNA from 1 species